rnacentral:rRNA from 1 species
UGGGGGAUAUUGCACAAUGGAGGAAACUCUGAUGCAGCGACGCCGCGUGAGGGAAGACGGUUUUCGGAUUGUAAACCUCUGUCUUCGGGGAAGAAACAAUGACGGUACCCGAGGAGGAAGCCACGGCUAACUACGUGCCAGCAGCCGCGGUAAUACGUAGGUGGCAAGCGUUGUCCGGAUUUACUGGGUGUAAAGGGAGCGUAGGCGGGUAUGCAAGUUGAAUGUUAAAACUAUCGGCUCAACCGGUAGUUGCGUUCAAAACUGCAUAUCUUGAGUGAAGUAGAGGUAGGCGGAAUUCCUAGUGUAGCGGUGAAAUGCGUAGAUAUUAGGAGGAACACCAGUGGCGAAGGCGGCCUACUGGGCUUUUACUGACGCUGAGGCUCGAAAGCGUGGGGAGCAAACA